GCUUUACAGGACAGAGUGCUUCUCCACGGGACAUGUUAACUCACGGGCAGCUGGCUCAUCAAGGAACCAGAGCAGCUUUCCAUGUAAAGGUAAGACACGUGCAGCCGGUAAGGGUUCAGGCUCUUCUUCCUGGAGGAUACGCUGCAAGCCUGUUGAACGAGGUGACCUUGCUCGGGUCCCAGGUGUACGGUUCCUAAAAUGGCUGCCAUAUACACGUCCACUGAUAGGAG